GCAAUAGACACAAGUGUGACGCAGAGACGCUGCGUGAAGGAUGACGGCCCGCGGGGUUUAAAAUUCUUUUUUCGAAGAAGAAACAAAUGACGGUAUUCGAGGAAUAAGCAUCGCCUAACUCCGUCCCAGCAGCCGCGGUAAGACGGAGGAUGCAAGUGUUAUUCGGAAUGAUUGGGCGUAAAGAGUCUGUAGGCGGUAUAGAAAGUCUUUUGUUAAAUGCAUCGGUUCAACCGAGAUCCAGCAAAGGAAACUUUUAUACUUGAGGGAAGUAGAGGUACAGGGAAUUCCCGGUGGAGCGGUGAAAUGCGUAGAUAUUGGGAGGAACACCAAUAUGGAGAAGGCACUGUACUGGGCUUUUCCUGACGGUGGGAGACGAAAGAUAAAGGAGUGAUUAGGAUUAGAUACCCUUGUAAUUUUAGCCGUAAACGAUGGAAACUCCCUGCCGAGCGAAAUACAACGAGCGGUGGUCAAGCUAACGCGUAAGUUACCCGCAUGGGUACGCCCUC
rnacentral:rRNA from 1 species